rnacentral:rRNA from 1 species
GUCAACGGCCCUACCACCCUACAAGCGCCCAAUCUCAUCUGAUCUCGGAAGCAGGGUUGGGCCUGGUUAGUACUUGGAUGGGAGAAAUUAUCCAAUGUGUUCAUA